rnacentral:ncRNA from 2 species
CUCUUAUCAAGAGUGGCUGAGGGAUGUGCCCUAUGAAGCCCAGCAACCUUCUAUUUGGAAAGGUGCUAAUUCACAUAAAGUUUGUCUAAACUUUUGAAGAUGAGAG